GUUUCGGGCAGCUCACGGCGGACAUGCCAUAGUUCGUGCUGAUGGAGUAGGAAGUGUUACAAACAGCUGAUUGGAUCGGCAAAGCGUGUUUCUGGAAUAUUAUGUUUUUGUUGCUGCAAGCGCUUUUUAUGCAGUUUUUGCAAAGCUAUAUGUGGAAGGAAACCGUGACCUAGGACAAGCUGAUGGCAUAAAAUAUUUGUGGAGGGGAAUUGGAAGCAGGAAAUCGCUGCACGUCAGCAGCAGAUGGUCUACAACAGCAGACUACAUCAGGUCCCACUCCUGUCAACUAAGACAGCACAGACUCACCAAAAUUGGAAAUUAGAAGACUGGAAAAACAAUAUGAGCAACAUUCAGAAGGUAGGGUCAGAAUUUUGCAUAAAAAACACGAAAGUGUGUCUCCGUCAUGCCUCGUUCAGGCAGUUUUGCUAUACUAUUGGCUGUAAAUUACUUCAGGUGAAUGGAAUGUCUCUAAAUGCUCAUCUCAGCCAAAAAGCUAAGGAUUUUUUUUAAAACUGUGAAUCAUGCAAAACCGCUCUGGUAAAAUGCAGGAAUUGUUUUAAAAAAGGGAAAUGAGCAUAAUAAGUUCCCUUUGACAAUAUUUUGUCACAAAUUAUUAUGAUCCUACUUUAAGUCUAAUCUCUGUACUCAAGUAAUUACACUAAGUCAUGCAAAUGUUUUGUGUUUGUUCUUGACAAGGAAGCACGUUUUCUUUCUGGCUGCUUCUCUGUGGUCUGACCAGAAACUAACUCAUCCUUAUUCUAGAAAGUGAACCACAACAUGUGGCAACAGAGCCCACAAACAUGCGCUCAUUCCUCUUGAGGGGAAACUAGCAACUGAAAAAAACAGAGAUAGAAAGAGAGAAAGUCCCAGUGUUCCUCUCCACAUCCAUUUGUCUUUGGACUACAUUCCUACUCCUCUUCCUCAAAUGAAAUGGUUAUCCCUGCAAACAAUGAGAAGACUGAGCUGCAGGAGCAUCUGCAGCAUGUGAAGUGGGACAUGAAACAAAAAUUGGCUCACAAGGUCGAGGUCAACUUCAGCAUCAGCACAUUCUUUGAGCCAAGGCGUUGGAGAGAAAGCAGGCGCGAACUGAAAAUGGCCCUAGUCUCUUCCUAACAUGCUUUUAUUUCCCACAUACUUCGUGAUCAGCAGGCCUCAGUAUGUUAUCAGGUAAUACUGAGACAAACAGCUGCUUACGUGCUGAAAUGUGGAUGUAUUAUUUGAGUAAAGCAUUACACAUGAAUCAGAAGAACAAUACAUUUUGACCAAUAGGCUAACAAUUAAAGUAAACUCAUCAGUAUUAAAAAUACAGCUGGAAAGGUGAACUGUUCCUACUUUAAGAGCAAGUGCAGGCAGAUAUGUUGCGAAAUGUAUUUACCAUCAUAAUUAAAUACAAAAAGAAAGAAUGUGCAGAAAAAAUCUGAACUCUAAACUCACACCUAUGAUAUUAAUUUAAAAAUCAUA